rnacentral:rRNA from 1 species
UCUCAGUUCGGAUUGUAGUCUGCAACUCGACUACAUGAAGCUGGAAUCGCUAGUAAUCGCGGAUCAGAAUGCCGCGGUGAAUACGUUCCCGGGUCUUGUACACACCGCCCGUCACACCAUGGGAGUCAGUAACGCCCGAAGCCGGUGACCUAACCGAAAGGGAGGAGCCGUCGAAGGUGGGACCGAUAACUGGGGUGAAGUCGUAACAAGGUACC